GAUCUAUGAUGAAGUCAAUAUGUUCUCCUGGGCACAAAGCUGCUUACAUGAGGUGUGAUUACCUCCUCUGCUUCUGUGGCAGUUUGCAGAGCAUUUUUUCUUCUCAGUCAGACAUUGCAGAAUUUGAAAAAGGCCCCCACUAAGAUACCUUCUGUACAGUGUGGAUGGGAACAGUUUAAUACUUCCUAAGAAAACGUAGCCGCAGGGUUGCAGCCCGCCUUCAAGCAGGUCCCCCUGACAGAGCGGCCGCGCGGUUGCAGCCCGCCUUCAAGCAGGUCCCCCUGACAGAGCGGCCGCGCGGUUGCAGCCCGCCUUCAAGCAGGUCCCCCUGACAGAGCGGCCGCGCGGUUGCAGCCCGCCUUCAAGCAGGUCCCCCUGACAGAGCGGCCGCGCGGUUGCAGCCCGCCUUCAAGCAGGUCCCCCUGACAGAGCGGCCGCGCGGUUGCAGCCCGCCUUCAAGCAGGUCCCCCUGACAGAGCGGCCGCGCGGUUGCAGCCCGCGCCUGGAGAAGAGGAAACGUAUAAGAAGGAAGAGUUUAUUACUAACCCAUUAGCAUGGUGCGGCUGCAUGGGAAGCAAGAGUGCGCUCCAUACCAGAGUUCAUUCAGAGGAAAUUGUCCUCUUGGUGGCAGAAAUAAGAACAAGGAGACAACUCCUGUCUUCUAAAACUUUCCUCAACCUGCCAGGCAGGCAGCAAAGAAGCGCAGAGCAGCAGUUCACUUCUAGUUUUGGCAGAAGUUAUUCUUCCUUUCAGUCAGAGUUAUUGAUAAGGAACAAAGAAGAGUUUGAGAAAAAAGAAUGAAAGAAAAUGGAGAGCAACACCAAAGAAUAUAUAACCAUUUGUUAUCUUCCAUUUGUUCUAGCACAAAAUUUGAGUCACGUUUUUCUGCUGUUCCUAGCUUUCAAUAAGGCCCACUAAAGCACAGGCAGUAUGUUUAAGUCAGCUACUUCCAGAGACUUCCCCAAAAGACAAUAAGAAAAAGCCAGCCUCUCUCUACCACUAUGAAUUACUUGUGAGCUCAGAAUUUAACAUUUCCAAAAUGUCAAGUAGAUACAGACAGUACAGCACACUUCAUAACCAAGAAUUUGUUCACUAUUUUUAAACACAGGAAAGAAACCAAAUCAUAUACAUACAAGUUAAGAGAUACCAAUAUUUUUAUUUGCAUAAAAUUAUAGAACAGCCCCUUAUGAAAGCACAUAGUUUUAACUUCUGGUUACAUUUUUUCCUCUAUGAAUCCUCCAAGCUGUCAAUUCACAGCUUGGAGCAUUUUGUUACAUGACACAGAGAGACUGCUCAUUGUGAUGACCAAUUUUAUUUAUUUUCAAGCUACUAUGCAAAACAUUCAAUAUAGUAUCUGCAGUGUUUAUUUAAUAAGAUAUACAGUUCUCAUUACUGCAUUUUCAUUUCCCAUACAACUCAGAAGAAAAUACAUCUUUAAAGCAUUUCUCUGCAUUUCCUUUCAGCAAAGACAGUAACUGAUUCACUCACUGACAACAUUCAAAACUACACAGAAUUCCAAGUUACAUUCAGAAAUACAGUGAAUUUUGCUUUAACAAAUUAGGCCACUUGGUCUAAGAGCAAUGUCAUAAUUCUCUAAUUAUCUCAGAUCUCAGGCUAUCACAAAAAUAUAUAAGAGCCACAUGAUCAAAAGCACAGUAUCAUUAAGCAGACCUAAAAGAAAGAAACAGACCUCUCUCUUGAUCACUACAUCAGUUAAGUUCCAAAGAAAGAAAUCUUCAGAAUCUUCAGUUUUCUCUCCAGCCUCCUCUCAAACAAAAAUUCUCACAGUGUACAAACUCUAAAAAAAAACAGAGCCCUGGUUAAGCAGGCUUCGUGCUCAGGUGCAACAGAAUGAAGAAAUAACAUGCUCAGAAAUCAUUAUCAGCACACAUUCACUUUACAUACACAACAUUCCAGUGAUUCCCAGUCUUUUUCCACCUCCUGCUCCAUUCUGCUACAGCAAUUCUUUCACAGAAAACAUGGAUUUGGUUGCCAAUACAUAUUGCAAUACUAAGAAUCUGUCAAAACCAAAAAUAUCAGUUUAUGGAGGCAAAUGUUUCUACUUUCCCUUGAGAUACCACUCAGUUAUUAAUAUGUAAUGCAAGG
rnacentral:lncRNA from 1 species